AUUGAACGCUGGCGGCAGGCCUAACACAUGCAAGUCGAGCGGAUGACGGGAGCUUGCUCCUUGAUUCAGCGGCGGACGGGUGAGUAAUGCCUAGGAAUCUGCCUGGUAGUGGGGGACAACGUUUCGAAAGGAACGCUACUACCGCAUACGUCCUACGGGAGAAAGCAGGGGACCGUCGGGCCUUGCGCUAUCAGAUGAGCCUAGGUCGGAUUAGCUAGGUGGUGAGGUAAUGGCUCACCAAGGCGACGAUCCGUAACUGGUCUGAGAGGAUGAUCAGUCACACUGGAACUGAGACACGGUCCAGACUCCUACGGGAGGCAGCAGUGGGGAAUAUUGGACAAUGGGCGAAAGCCUGAUCCAGCCAUGCCGCGUGUGUGAAGAAGGUCUUCGGAUUGUAAAGCACUUUAAGUUGGGAGGAAGGGCAGUAAGUUAAUACCUUGCUGUUUUGACGUUACCGACAGAAUAAGCACCGGCUAACUCUGUGCCAGCCGCCGCCGUAACAC
rnacentral:rRNA from 1 species